rnacentral:tRNA from 1 species
GCCUGGGUGGCUCAGUCAGUUGAGCGUCUGACUUCAGCUCAGGUCAUGAUCUCAGGAUUCGUGGGUUUGAGCCCCACAUCAGGCU